rnacentral:tRNA from 1 species
UCUAAUGUGGCAGAAUAAUGCAUUGAAUUUAAGCUUCAAUUAUAAAGUUCCCUCUUUCUUUAGAA